rnacentral:rRNA from 1 species
GAUGAACGCUGGCGGCGUGCCUAAUACAUGCAAGUCGAGCGAACAGACGAGGAGCUUGCUCCUCUGACGUUAGCGGCGGACGGGUGAGUAACACGUGGAUAACCUACCUAUAAGACUGGGAUAACUUCGGGAAACCGGAGCUAAUACCGGAUAAUAUAUUGAACCGCAUGGUUCAAUAGAGAAAGACGGUUUUGCUGUCACUUAUAGAUGGAUCCGCGCCGCAUUAGCUAGUUGGUAAGGUAACGGCUUACCAAGGCGACGAUGCGUAGCCGACCUGAGAGGGUGAUCGGCCACACUGGAACUGAGACACGGUCCAGACUCCUACGGGAGGCAGCAGUAGGGAAUCUUCCGCAAAGGGCGAAAGCCUGACGGAGCAACGCCGCGUGAGUGAUGAAGGUCUUCGGAUCGUAAAACUCUGUUAUUAGGGAAGAACAAAUGUGUAAGUAACUAUGCACGUCUUGACGGUACCUAAUCAGAAAGCCACGGCUAACUACGUG